rnacentral:lncRNA from 1 species
GAAAAAAAAACUCAGGAGGGGAAAAAACGGGGGAAAUUCAGCUGGAAAUGGGCAAAAUUGGGGUGAAAAUGAUGGAAUUUGGAUAAAAACAGCUGGAUUUGGGAUAAAAACAGCUGGAUUUGGGAUAAAAACAGCUGGAUUUGGGAUAAAAAUGCCAGAAAAUGGGAUUAAAUUCCCACUGGAAUUCCCAAAAUUCCAACUGGAAAUUCCCAAAUUUCCUCUCUGGUUUUGUUUUUCUGUGUUUUUUGAGCAAUAAAAGGAUUUUUAUCAAUAAAAAAAUGCAAAUUUUAUCCAUUUGGAGUCGUUUUGUCUUUUCCUUGAAUUCCCUUUGAUCCCAAAAAUUCCCUUUUUAUCCCCAAAAAUUCCCUUUUUAUCCCAAAAAUUCCCUUUUUAUCCCAAAAAUUCCCUUUUUUUCCCCAAAAUUCUUUUUUUAUUCCCAAAAUUUCACUUUUUAUCCCCAGAAAUUCCCUUUUUAUUCCCAAAAAUUCCCUUUUUUUCCCAGAAAAAAAUUCCCAAAUUCCUUUUUUUCUUGAAACUCAACUUUAUUGACCCAAACCCGGCGCCGAUCCCGGGGAAUUCCGGGAAUUUCGGGAAUUCUGGGGGGGAUUUUGGGAAUUUUGGGGCCAUUUUUAUCAAUUUUGGGUCAUUUUUAUCAAUUUUGGGGCCAUUUUUAUCAAUUUUGGGGCCAUUCCUGAGGAUUUUGGGUCCAUUUUUGUGCAUUUUGGGUCGAUUUUUAUGGAUUUUGGGUCUAUUUCUGUCAUUCUGGGUCCAUUUCUGUGGAUUCCGGUGCCGUUUCUCCAUCUGGGGCCGUUUUUGGGUCGUUUUUGGCCAUUUUUGGGUCAUUUUUGGCCGUUUUUGGGCUGGUCUUGGGUCAUUUUUGGGCUGUUUUGGGCUGUUUUUGGGCAGGUUGGGCUGGUCUUGGGUCAUUUUUGGGCUGUUUUGGGCUGUUUUUGGGCAGGUUUUGUGUCUUUUUUGUCCAUUUUUGUCCGUUUCUGUCCAUUUUUGUGUCUUCUUUGUCCAUUUUUGCGUCGCUUCUGUCCAUUUCCGUGCGGUUUUGGGCCGUUUUUGGGUCAUUCUGGGUCAUUUUUGGGUCAUUUCUGUCUGUUUCUGUCCGUUUUUGUCACAUUUUUGUCCAUUUUUGUCCCAUUUUUCUGUCCAUUUCUGUCUUU